UACGAAGGGGGCUAGCGUUGUUCGGAAUUACUGGGCGUAAAGCGCACGUGGGCGGAUAUUUAAGUCAGGGGUGAAAUCCCAGAGCUCAACUCUGGAACUGCCUUUGAUACUGGGUAUCUUGAGUAUGGAAGAGGUAAGUGGAAUUGCGAGUGUAGAGGUGAAAUUCGUAGAUAUUCGCAGGAACACCAGUGGCGAAGGCGGCUUACUGGUCCAUUACUGACGCUGAGGUGCGAAAGCGUGGGGAGCAAACAGGG
rnacentral:rRNA from 1 species